UACGUAGGGUGCGAGCGUUAUCCGGAAUGAUUGGGCGUAAAGCGUCUGUAGGUGGCUUUUAAGUCUGCCGUCAAAUCCCAGGGCUUAACCCUGGACAGGCGGUGGAAACUACCAAGCUGGAGUACGGUAGGGGCAGAGGGAAUUUCCGGUGGAGCGGUGAAAUGACGUAGAGAUUGGAAAGAACACCGAUGGCGAAGGCACUUUACUGGGCUAUUACUAACACUCAGAGACGAAAGCUAGGGUAGCAAAUGGG
rnacentral:rRNA from 1 species